ACUUGCCACACUAGCGCUAUUUUGGCGAGUCUUCGUAUUAUAAUUUGCUAUUUACAGCUGAACACUUUUUCAACUGAUACCCGAUAUAAGACUGUUUUCCUUACUUCUACCCUCCAUAUUUAGAAUUCUAAUAAAACCUGCCUAAUCGAUGGUUCGGAAUGUAAAUGUACAUCAAUUAUUUUAAUUCAACCAUAGCUUUAAAUGCAUUAAAAAUGGUAGAAGUAGUAAUUUGACUCUACUUUUCCAAAUAAGAUGUUUUUUCCUUAAAAAUGAAAAUAGUAAGUAAGAAACUCAAUGCCAACAAGUUGUUUGGAUAGAUCUGUAUAACUUAAAGAUAUUCAUGAAGAUAAAAGUGGUGGAAGUACUAACUGAAAACCAAUUCCCCACCUAAGAUGAUAUUUCCAUUAAAAUGCAAAUACUAAGAAAGAAGUUUAAUGGCACCAUGUACUUGUUCAGUAUAAAUUGAAGAUAUUACUCAUUAUGGUCUCCUUAAAGUCUGCCUUUCUUCAACACUCAUUAAGAAGUGUGCCAACAAUUGAUUAUUUAUUUAUAGAGACCAGUAGAAGUGAUUCCUGAAGAAACGGUUGAUGAUUAGGUCAGAAAAACACCCAAAUCAAUCCUAUAUAGUUUGAUAUGAAGAGGAAAAGUUAAAGUUAAGCAUUAUAAGGUAAAACGUAGGACAAUUCAUAAGUAGUGCUCAUGCUGUCAUUUUGAUGGGAUUACAAAGAUGUUGUGUUUUUUGAGCUGCUUCCAAGGAACCAAACAAUUAAUUCUGAAGUUUACUGACAACAAUUAACGAAACUGUAUGAAGCCAUUAAAGAAACACGGCUAGAAAUAUCUAAUCGAAAAGGUUUACCGUUCCAUUAUGAUAAUCCAAGGACCCACACAUCCUUGGCAACUCGUAGGAAACUAUUGGAGCUUGGCUGGGAAGUGAUGGCACAUCCCCCAUAGAGCCCUGAUCUGGCACCAUCUGAUUUGAAUAGUCAAACUUUCACAAAUGACGAUCACCUUCAAUCGCACCUGGUUAAGAAAAUUUCGAAGACUCCAUUUUUCCAUGUAUUACUUUUUGAUUUUUGCUCUAGACAGUUGAAGAAUACCUAGAACUGUUUUUGAUUUUGUUUUAAUCGUUCGUGUACCUCAAGAAUUUUCAGCUUAAGUGCAGGUAUAACCAAAGGAACCGACAUAUAAAUUGUACACUAUAACAGAAGCUGCAGCAAUAGAGGAAAUUUGAAGAAUAGAUUUAUCUAAAUUUUUUAUCAAUUGUAAGUUUCAUGACAAAACAAAAACUUAUCAAUUGAAUAUUCAAUUAUGGCAGUGUGCUGAGCAUUGUAUUGAUGAGCCAAAAUAGUACAGAAACAUCAAAUUUGAAACUAAUCCCUUUUGAAGAAUCAUCUCUGCUCUACGCGUUAACUAGAAAUUUAAGUUAAUAGAUGAUUCUCCACUCCAAAAAAAUAAA